CUUAAAAUGAUGAUAAAUUGUCACUGACAUUCUGUACCAAUCUAUUAUUGAGCGGUUCAGAAUAAAAAAGAUGGUCGCAUUUGCGAGGCAUUUGUCUGAUUAAAAG